rnacentral:rRNA from 1 species
UACAGAGGUCCCAAGCGUUGUUCGGAUUCACUGGGCGUAAAGGGUGCGUAGGUGGUCGGGUAAGUUUGAUGUGAAAGCUCCGAGCUUAACUCGGAAAUUGCAUUGAAUACUAUUCGGCUAGAGGGUUGGAGGGGGGACUGGAAUUCUCGGUGUAGCAGUGAAAUGCGUAGAUAUCGAGAGGAACACCAGUGGCGAAGGCGGCAUCCUGGACCGGCAUUGACGCUGAGGCGCGAAAGCCAGGGGAGCAAACGGG